rnacentral:miRNA from 1 species
UACCUCAAAAUUCCGCAACAGUCUGUUUCAUCAGUAAAGAAUCAUCAGGCGGUAUUGAUGAUUCUUUAUUGAUGAAACUGUGAUGAUGAUUCUUUACUGAUGAAACAGACUGUUGCGGAAUUU